AAGACUAUACUUUGAAGGAUCAUAUCUAUAGUUUGUGACUAGAGAAAUCGUAUACUAAAAAGUUCGAUCUCUGCAACUACGAGGACGAGAUAUAGCGUUUUCUCCUGAGCGCGAAGCAGUCUGCAAGCUUUGUUUUAUACAAUGGUUUACUGGCAUUGAUGACCAUUCCCUUCUCCCAUUGCGGGAGUUAUUAGGGCAGGCACAGUAGU